ACAAACAAAAAACAGGAGUACACUCAGUCUUUAGACACGUAAGAAUUGGAGGUAAAGAAAUGUGGACUUGGUGAAGUCUCAGGCCAGCUUACUCUCUGCAGACUGAGGAUCAACCUUCCCACAAAG
ensembl:snoRNA